GUGAAAAUUAUAGAUCGAUUUUCUUAUUCCGUCAUCAGCUUCUAUUGAUAUGAGCGAUACAAAAAGUUCAGCACUGAAUUUUAGUAUGUUAACUUGCAAGAUUUCUCACGACUAUGUUUUUUUGUUAUAGGUUUAUAAAUUUCGAAAUAUAGUUGCAGCUUCACGGAAUGGACGGCCCAAAUUAUGUUAGUGUCUAUAUGUUUACUUGGUGGUGGUCUAGCGUGAGUGACACCUGCAUCUGUAACUUACCCAUUGGAUGUUCUUCGAAAUCACCUGACAACACAGAAAACCACUAGGUAUUACAAGGGCAUCUUUCACACGUUGUCUACAAUUUGUAGAGAAGAGAAUAGUAGAGGAUUGUAUAAAGGCCUUUGGUCCACCUUAUUGGGAGUUGGACCUGAUAUAUCAAUCAAUGUUUAUGUAUAUGAAUCCCUGAGGUCUCAUUGGAAAAUGGAAAGUUGAAUGUCAAACUGUGCGACCAAUGAUUUGAUAUGGUUAAUUCCAGUUGGGUGUGUUAACCUACAGUAAUCAAUCAAGUCAACAAAUAUAACAAUGAUACUUUGUCUUCUGAUUUUUGGUGAUGAUUUUUUUUGUGACUGAACUAACAGGAGUUGAAGCAUG